UACGGAGGAUGCGAGCGUUAUCCGGAUUUAUUGGGUUUAAAGGGUGCGUAGGCGGACGCUUAAGUCAGCGGUAAAAUUGCGGGGCUCAACCUCGUCGAGCCGUUGAAACUGGGUGCCUUGAGUGGGCGAGAAGUACGCGGAAUGCGUGGUGUAGCGGUGAAAUGCAUAGAUAUCACGCAGGACUCCGAUUGCGAAGGCAGCGUACCGGCGCCCUACUGACGCUGAAGCACGAAGGCGUGGGUAUCGAACAGG
rnacentral:rRNA from 1 species